rnacentral:sRNA from 1 species
CGGACCAUAGAGGAGGAGGGAGCCAAGUGGGAGGAGCGGAAGAGCACAGAUUGGAAGAUCUGCGUAGCGAAACACAGAAGUUUGGGGAAGGGGAGGGGUCCGGGCGAAUUCCUCCCGGCUGCCACCCGCGUGUUCUACAGCGGCCAGGGCACUGGAGCCGCCGGAGUUGGGACAGGAGUGAAUCCCAACCGAGCUGGACCGGAGCGGGAACGGUGCUGCCACCCGCCGCUCGCCCUUGGGAAUGUGGCUCGCCAGGUCCAGUGACCCUUUGGUCUGGGACCCGUGGGUGGCUGACUGGUGUAGACCGUAAACACCCGGAGUCACUGUCUCUGGGGGCUUGGAUGGGUUCCUGGGGGAUGGGACCCGGGAAGUGGCAGAGGGCGGCGAAGGGCACAGCGCAGGGCUGGACGUGCCUGGUCGUAGGACUCCACGAGGCCCUUGUCCAGGAAAAGCAAGCAGCGCCUGGUGGACCACCCUCGGCCCAAGUCGGGCGCCGGAUGCCCUUUGCUUUUGCAGUCACGGGCACCCGCCUCCGGCCUCGCUUUCCCGGGAAGAGGAGGCGGACUUCGGGAGCCUGAUCUCAAGCUAUGCUUGGCGCGCGGCUGUGGCUGGUGGCCGGGAGCUGUGGCCCCAGGCGCCCUGGGCGACGGGGAGGCGUGGCGAGACCACCUGUCAGCACCGCGGAGUUCGGGGGACGCAGCUUUCACCUGUGCCUGGAAAGGGCGGGGCCGGAGGCUGGGCAGGGAUUUGCGGCUGGCAGCUCUAGGUCUCCUACUACAAAAUGCAUGCAUGGGUCAAUUUCCCAAAAGAAGGGGGUUGGCUAAAAAUACCCCAAAGCCUAAACCUCUCUGCACCCUCUAAUGUAAGCAUUCACAAAGGAACUCGGCCAAAAUCCGUCCUGUUUUCAGGGAGAAAGGCCGAGCCUUCGAACUUGAAUUUGUUAAGGAGUGCUGGAAAAACAAACGCGGGCCUGCCUGCCAUGCUCUAGCUAGCACAGUUUUUAAGGUAAAGUAUCCAAGGCCUUAUUCCGCCAUCUUUCAGCUCCCACACUUGCAUCUGGAUUUCCAAUCCUUUCGUACCCCAGUGCUCAGAUUUCAUUUCUGCCCCGUGUAGGUCCUGCCAGUGUAACAACACCUCCCAUCUCUUAGGGUAUUGAAAGGGCUUGUAGGGUGGCACAAUGUUUUGCCAAUGUUUCCAUCACAACUGAGUGUGUGAAUUUUUAAAAGUUCACUAUUAACCACCCAGAGGAGGUAUCUGCAAAAUUUGAUGACUAGCUUGCUCUAUUUAGGAAACACUAAUCCCGGAGUCAGAGUUUGAUUUCUGAUUUAUUUUAUUAUCAUAGAAGCAGGACAGUUUUGUAGAGUCCCCCACCCUCCACCCUAGCAUGUCAGCUACUCCUUGGUAGUACUUCUGCCAGAAAAUAGGGAAGCCAAUGAGAGAUGGGACCACGCGGUGCUAACUCAGCCAAGGGUUUUAGAUGUCCCCCAAUGGAUUGUUGCUGUUAUUGUUAAAGAAAACCAAUGAUACACCGAUAACGUAACUAUUGUCGUCUGCUACAAAAAUAGGGCUAGUAAACCAGGGGGUCCAGACGGUUAAGUCCAGAGAGUUAAGUUGCAAACACAGCGAUGAAAGAAAAUAGUGCCACCUACGGGAGAAGCGUGGUUCUGAAGGCAGUCUUUAACCUAGGAACCAGUGUCAUACUUAGAUCAUCAUUGAAGUCUUGCUGUUCAGCAUGAUUUUGCAUUUUUUUGCUUCUCCUGAUGUUUGCUUAGCAAAUAAUAUCCCUGGACAACAACUCAAAUGUUCGGGUGUGUUUGAAAGAUUAUCGAUUCCAAAAAGGUCAGUUGCCUUUCUAAGUAUUUUUUUUAAUUACAGGUAUCCCGGAGAACCCUAUGUUUAUGUUAUUUCAAUGAAACUUCUAGAAGUAAGAUAAAUUACCACACAGCCCAGUAAAUAAAGCGCCUUUUGCAAGUUUGACUGCACAGUGCCCCGACUGGUUACCGAGGCCUGCCGGUCGACCGCCUAGCCUAGACAGUGUGCUGCAGGGUCAGAGAAAGACCCUGUCUUUAAAAAUAAGGUUGAGAAAAAUAUAAGAUGCACAACGGGGCAAGAGGGGGGAUACACACAUCACAUAGACUUAUAGAAGCAUUAGAGCUGUUUAUUUCGUGGGCUGGGAAACAUUUGCAAAACUCUGCAUAAAGAUAUAUGGUCAUCAUGCUUUUCUUUCAACCAUUCAAUAAGUAUGUAUGGAUACUUAUUCUGUGCCAGGUCCUCAAGAAGGAACACUAAAGACAGAUGGCAAUCUUCAUCCAAUAUGGAAGCUUAUAUGAUAUAGGAGUAUUUACUAUACGAAGAAAUAUAUAAGUAAAAUCUACAUUCCUCAAAGUAUGUAAUUAUUUAACAUGCUAAGAAAAUAUAGGUAUUCGAUGUUCAUUUUAUAUAUACAUGGCAUAUGAGAAUGUACGAUAUUACCCUAAAGUGUGAUUAUUUUCCCUAAAAAGAAAUGUGUGGCAUUUCUGAUGAUUAUUGUCUUGUCUCUCUCUUUUCUACAAGAAGCUUAAAAAUGAGAACAAAAUACUGCAUGAGCUUACAACUGCUGCCCCAAGUUAGAAGAUUCCUUAAGAACUAUGCUGGUAAUGCUCAUGUAGAGCGCUGUCCCACAGCUGGAAGGCCCUGAGUUGGAUUCCUAGCACCACAGAGAAGGGAGCACUGGACUGUAAAUCUCAGGCCUGCACAUCCCAGGAACUGAUAGGGAGCCUCUCAGGCUCCUUCAUUUAGUCUUGUCCUACCAUCUACCCAGGCUUCCUACCUCAGCUCUUAGCUUCCUUGACAGUUCAGACAACAUUUACAUUUCAGAUUCUUCAGGUUGGCAUAGAAAGACUAGAACUCGAGCAUUUUCUGUUUCUUUGAGCUUCUCUUCAAUAAAUCUGCUCUUUCGUUCAACGAGGGGCGCUUAUUAAAUAUAGGACACUACACUGUCAAAGAGGGAGGAUCAAAGAAGGUAGGAGACACAUUGAUCUUUUGACUCUCUAACUGAAAGCCUGAGAUAAUAUACUUGUGAUAUACAUGUAUGUGUGUGGGGGGGGUGGUGUACACGUCCGCACGCACAGUAUGUGCAGUAUCAAGUGGGUCACAUCGAGGCAAGCUUCAGAGUUGAGAAAGUCCAGAAAGACAGGCCUUCUGCCAGGAAAUGAAGAAAGCACUGUGGAUGUUUCCUCCUGAGCCUGAGCCAGCGUUACUGGAAUUAAUUGCUUUAGCCGAGAUGGACAAAAUUUUAACCAUUGAUGAAUCCAGCAAGAGGUGGAUAUAUAUACAUAUAUAUAUAUAUAUAUUGUUUGUAUCCAUAUGGUAUCUGGAGGACUCUGCGUUUGUGUGUUUUAAGUUUUACUUUGGCAGUAAUAGGUAAAACAAGGAGAGAGGAGGCCCUCCUCCACAUUGCUACUGAAUUUCAGUGGCAAGCAGCCCCGUGGCAUCUAAGUGAGGAGUAUCCCUUUUUGGAUUUCCUGGUAAUACAAUUUUUAGAACUCUACCCUACUAAAGUAAAAAACACUAUUAGUGUAAGACAAACAGUAUUAAAGUACAAGAUUGACAUUCGGUGUCAUUUGAAAUAGCAAGAACAGAAUAGAAUCAUGGGUCAGUAAACUAUCAAACGUCCACCUCAAUACACCUGUCUUCAAAAGUAAGUUAUAUUUGAGAACAGUGUUUCCAAAUACAACAGAUUGAUGAACUCCUAGAGGAACAGAGAGGUAAAUUAACGUGUGAAAAGGUGCAGCCAAGUACUCACUUCAUAUAUACAAAAUAAUAAUAAUAAUAAUAAUAAUAAUAAUAAUAAUAAUAAUACAGCCAAAAUAUUGAGUAUAGGAAUGGGUUGUAUUUGCCAUUUAACUCUUCCAACUUUUCAGCACUUAGAAUUCUUUCUAGUAAGAGAUUCAAAAGGAAUAGGCCAGUGGUAUACAAAUGGCCUGGAAAAUUUAUUCCUCCGAAAUCUAUUCUAUAAUUCUAUUUUUUGUGUGAUUAGGAAAGUCAGCUCUAAUGGGUAAGGAGGCUGAACAUUUCCAAAGAAGCCGUCGUUCCAUCUGUGUCAGGCAAAUUCAAAAGCAGUGUGAGAUUCCGUCUCACCCCGGCAGAAUGGCUGUGAAGAAGGAAACAGUCGACUGACUGGAGAGUUUGUGGAGUACGCAGGUCACGUAUCCACUGUUGGUAGGGUGCUUACUAAUGCAAUGACAAUGGAAACCAGACCGGGGUCCUUCGAAGUAGCAAAAGGGUAACUGACUGGCAUGCCACCCAGAUCCCCUGUUCCCGAGCUUAUCCUGCCACAGAGAUACCCACAUGCCCAUGUUUUCUGCUGUUCUGUUCACAAAUGCAUGGGAAUGGAGCCACCCUAUCUUUCCCUCAGCUGGUGCCUGGGUAAGGAAAGCAUGGCAUAUAUGCACAAGGGAUGCUAUUCAGUCGUCAAGAAAACUGAAGCUAUGGAAUUUACAGAAAUAAUUGCUGUAACCGAAAAGGAUCGUAUUGAGUAAGGCUAAUGAAAAAAUUUAAAGAAGAGAGAACGUCAGCUUAAGACUGGGAAUCCCAUCUCGGAGCCCAGACCCAUUACUUACCAGCUCUGUGGCCCUAAGACAUUUCCCACCCUGAACCCCAGCUUUAUUGGUAAUAAUCCAACCUUGUUGUCAUUAUGACUAAUAAAGUCCUCAGUAUAUCUAUAUUUCUUAAA